rnacentral:rRNA from 1 species
AGACCGGUUUAUUGGUCGUGCUUUUGUACGUACUGGUAUUAUUGGUUUCUCCUUUCUGACGAAUCUUAAUGCCAUUAAUUUGGUGUUUUGGGAAUCAGGACUGUUACUUUGAAAAAAUUGGAGUGUUUAAAGCAGGCUCACGCUUGAAUACAUUAGCAUGGAAUAACGGAAUAGGACGUUUGAUUCUAUUUUGUUGGUUUCUAGGAUCGACGUA